ensembl:lncRNA
CUUCUCUUUGUGGGUUUUCUUCCUCUUACUUAUCUGAUCAAGAGUUGAACUCUUGACUGAAUCUCUUGGAGGACUAGAUCUCAGAAGAAGAGAUAUUCUAGAUGCCAGACGUGGAAAGAUGGAAGAUAGCUGACUAUUGUUCCUACUGGAGUAUGACGAGAUUCCCUCAGACAUGUGUAGCUGCUGCAAAUGCUCAGGUUGAGACAUGAGGCAGCAGUCCUAGGAGCACUUCCAACAGAUUGCCUCUUGGGCCAGAAUGCAGGGAAUUGAGUUGGGGCCAUCAGAGCUAGCAGCAGAAGCUGAGCCAAACAGCCACAGCGGUUUCUGGGGACUGGCAGGCUCUGCAACACACCAGGGACAAGGGUCUUCCACGAUCUCCUUGGGGAAUGCUGUUCUAGACUCUUCCACUUGCUCAUGCUUUGCUGUUCUCAGUGCAUUGCAAGUAGGGAAGGGCAGACAUCAAAAGCUCGAUGGGAGCAUCCACAAGUUCAUCUGAAGCAUGCAGACCUUCAGCAUUUUUAACGGGAAGUUGGAGAGCUUUCAAGUGCUCUCAUCCCACCUCCUGGCGCUUCUGCUUCUGGUUAAGGCCAGACAUAACCACAAGAACAAGCUUUCUCACGGUGUUUCAGCACGUUUCCUGUUGGUCCUGGAAGAAAACUGGAAGAACAUUUGAAGUUAAGAGGGCGUCUAGUCUUUGUAGAACUACAGAGGCUCUGUUCUGGAAAUAGGCACAGGCUGCGAAUGUUGGUAGGGGUGAGUGAAUUUACUUUCUCAAAGCAGUUUGCACCCUCCCCGCUAAUAAGCCUCCCCACAAAAGGGAAGAGUUGAUUUUUGUCUUAUAGAGAAAUGAAUCAUGGUCGUGCAGUGCUCUGGUGGAACGGGAACAAUCCCGAGAUACUUUGGGGGACUCGGAUGGAGUUGCCUUGUGCAAUAGAUAAUUUGGGAGCCCACAGAGGGUCAGAGAAAACUAACUGCAGAGUCAUGAAAUACCACACGGCUUGGCAGAGAAGUGGCAGUCUACCUGCACAUGCACAUACGUAUACGUGCUCAUACAUAUACACACGCGUAUGUUUGCAUAUACUUGUGUUGCCAUCCCUGGAGACUGAAGCCCUCUGUUUAUCUCCAGUUUCUCAGGUAAUUCUCAAACUCUCUUAUAAAUGUGGUUGAAUUUGACCUUGAGAGAGACACGUCCCAAGAGGAGACUGGUCUGUGCAGUGGUUCAGUCCCUCGGUGGCUGGCAGAGACCGUUGAGCACUCGUUAGGGUUUCUGCAAAUUGGCAUCUUUGCUGUGUCUGGUCCCAGACUGCACCUGGGGGGCACUGAUUUAGCUGCUGGGGAGAGAUUUUAGGCCUGGCUGGGUUUGAACCGUGCAGCCCAGGAAUGAACAGCGGCGUGUAACACACCUAAAAGCACCCUGUGCCUUUCCCCGCUCCCUUCGGUUCUCACCGCCGCCUGUGUUAUAUCAGUGCUGUAGCUGAGCCCUGUUACGUGAAGGCGAUUAGACCCAAUCACGUGGGAAAGCCAGGUGUGAAAACCCAUCCGAGUCUGUCGCUCGACUUGGUGUUAAUUGGGCUAGUUCCCUUUGAAAGGCAGGCGAAAAGCUUCGGUGAGCCUGCCGGCACCUUGCGGCGCAGUGUCCGUCUGUGCCGGGCAGCGUCCGACCGGCAGACGUGUUUGUGCAAGCGCAGAUGUUGCUGCCUCCUGUCGGGCUCCUGCCUGACCUCGAGCAAGGCGGUGCGCCUUCCCGUGCCUCGGUUUCACCAUGCGAUGGUACUUGGUAGUCUUUCCUCCAUACAACAAGGAAGAGGAAGAGGAUGGAGGAGUGCGGUGGCACGGUUUGCAAAGACGGCCAGCCAGGCAGAACGGGAAUGCUAAUUAAUUAGCCAUCGCGCUCAGGCCACGGCGCACGAGGAAGUGAAACUAGAGCGUGGUUUGGAGGAACAGCCCCGAACAGAAAAGGGAUGUGCCACGUGCCCAGCGAAAGACUGAAGAGUCCUGACUCGGAGCGUGUAGUAGUGCAACAGGUAAAGCGAUCGGCAGCGGAGGAAGGAGCGUGUGAGGGAGCGAGAGGCGUUGCUGUGUCUGUCUCCGUAAGGCUGCAGAGCCAGGAGGGGAUGGACCAUGCUGUGCCGGGAUGGGGAGGGAGGCAGGGACUGCCAGGAGCCUG